CCUACGGUGUGCAGCAGUGAUGAAUAUUUUUCAAUUUAAUCAAUUCUUAACCAUCCAUUCCUCUUGCAUGAAGACUUCUCUAUUAGUUGUAAACUGCUUUUGUACGAGGGUAAACGCAGAUACGUGUAUCUGUCUGAAAGUAUCGUACGAAUAAGGAUCGGCUAACUCCGUGCCAGCAGCCGCGGUAAUACGGAGGAUUCAAGCGUUAUCCGGAUUUAUUGGGUUUAAAGGGUGCGUAGGCGGUCGGAUAAGUUAGAGGUGAAAUCCCGAGGCUCAACUUCGGAAUUGCCUCUGAUACUGUGCGGCUAGAGAGUAGUUGCGGUAGGCGGAAUGUGUGGUGUAGCGGUGAAAUGCUUAGAGAUCAUACAGAACACCGAUUGCGAAGGCAGCUUA
rnacentral:rRNA from 1 species